rnacentral:rRNA from 2 species
GCCAGUGCGGGGUGCUUACCAUGCAAGUCGAACGGAAAGGCCCUUCGGGGUACUCGAGUGGCGAACGGGUGAGUAACACGUGGGUGAUCUGCCCUGCACUUUGGGAUAAGCCUGGGAAACUGGGUCUAAUACCGAAUAGGACCGCGCUCUUCAUGGGGUGUGGUGGAAAGCUUUUGCGGUGUGGGAUGGGCCCGCGGCCUAUCAGCUUGUUGGUGGGGUAAUGGCCUACCAAGGCGACGACGGGUAGCCGGCCUGAGAGGGUGACCGGCCACACUGGGACUGAGAUACGGCCCAGACUCCUACGGGAGGCAGCAGUGGGGAAUAUUGCACAAUGGGCGCAAGCCUGAUGCAGCGACGCCGCGUGAGGGAUGACGGCCUUCGGGUUGUAAACCUCUUUCAAUAGGGACGAAGCGCAAGUGACGGUACCUAUAGAAGAAGGACCGGCCAACUACGUGCCAGCAGCCGCGGUAAUACGUAGGGUCCGAGCGUUGUCCGGAAUUACUGGGCGUAAAGAGCUCGUAGGUGGUUUGUCGCGUUGUUCGUGAAAACUCACAGCUUAACUGUGGGCGUGCGGGCGAUACGGGCAGACUAGAGUACUGCAGGGGAGACUGGAAUUCCUGGUGUAGCGGUGGAAUGCGCAGAUAUCAGGAGGAACACCGGUGGCGAAGGCGGGUCUCUGGGCAGUAACUGACGCUGAGGAGCGAAAGCGUGGGGAGCGAACAGGAUUAGAUACCCUGGUAGUCCACGCCGUAAACGGUGGGUACUAGGUGUGGGUUUCCUUCCUUGGGAUCCGUGCCGUAGCUAACGCAUUAAGUACCCCGCCUGGGGAGUACGGCCGCAAGGCUAAAACUCAAAGGAAUUGACGGGGGCCCGCACAAGCGGCGGAGCAUGUGGAUUAAUUCGAUGCAACGCGAAGAACCUUACCUGGGUUUGACAUGCACAGGACGCCAGUAGAGAUAUUGGUUCCCUUGUGGCCUGUGUGCAGGUGGUGCAUGGCUGUCGUCAGCUCGUGUCGUGAGAUGUUGGGUUAAGUCCCGCAACGAGCGCAACCCUUGUCUCAUGUUGCCAGCACGUUAUGGUGGGGACUCGUGAGAGACUGCCGGGGUCAACUCGGAGGAAGGUGGGGAUGACGUCAAGUCAUCAUGCCCCUUAUGUCCAGGGCUUCACACAUGCUACAAUGGCCGGUACAAAGGGCUGCGAUGCCGUGAGGUGGAGCGAAUCCUUUCAAAGCCGGUCUCAGUUCGGAUCGGGGUCUGCAACUCGACCCCGUGAAGUCGGAGUCGCUAGUAAUCGCAGAUCAGCAACGUUGCGACCGCUAAA